rnacentral:rRNA from 1 species
GACGAACGCUGGCGGCGUGCUUAACACAUGCAAGUCGAACGGAAAGGCCCUGCUUUUGUGGGGUGCUCGAGUGGCGAACGGGUGAGUAACACGUGAGUAACCUGCCCUUGACUUUUGGAUAACUUCAGGAAACUGGGGCUAAUACCGGAUAGGAGCUCCUGCUGCAUGGUGUGGGUUGGAAAGUUUCGGCGGUUGGGGAUGGACUCGCGGCUAAUCAGCUUGUUGGUGGGGUAGUGGCUUACCAAGGCUGUGACGGGUAGCCGGCCUGAGAGGGUGACCGGCCACAUUGGGACUGAGAUACGGCCCAGACGCCAACGGGAGGCAGCAGUGGGGAAUAUUGCACAAUGGGCGGAAGCCUGAUGCAGCAACGCCGCGUGCGGGAUGACGGCCUUCGGGUUGUAAACCGCUUUCGCCUGUGACGAAGCGUGAGUGACGGUAAUGGGUAAAGAAGCACCGGCUAACUACGUG